rnacentral:rRNA from 1 species
UACGGGGGGGCAAGCGUUGUUCGGAAUUACUGGGCGUAAAGGGCUCGUAGGUGGCCAACUAAGUCAGACGUGAAAUCCCUCGGCUUAACCGGGGAACUGCGUCUGAUACUGGAUGGCUUGAGUUCGGGAGAGGGAUGCGGAAUUCCAGGUGUAGCGGUGAAAUGCGUAGAUAUCUGGAGGAACACCGGUGGCGAAGGCGGCAUCCUGGACCGACACUGACACUAGGAGCGAAAGC